rnacentral:lncRNA from 1 species
CUUAUACAAAAGUUACAGUCUUUCUUGACUAUGAAAGUUGACGAUUGAGCUAAUCACAAUUAAGAAAUGUGGCAAUUUUUCUAACUCUGGAUACUGGAUAGGAUAUCAAUCUCCUUUUUGCUGGAUGGCUUGCAUUUUCAUCUGUGUAUAGGUCACUCUCCACUUCCCACGUUCAAUGAUUUUGAUUAAGUUGCUGUCAUAGAGCUUUCUCAUCUCUAUCAAGAUUAAUGUAUAUCAUAAGCAGUCCAUUCAAAUCUGUUGUGCGAGUUAGGGGAUGGAACGAAAAGCAAAAAAGCAGUCCAUUCAAACUCGAAAUCAUAUUUUUGAACAUGAAAGAAGUAGUUGCGACAAGUCUUUUUUUAAAUUUGUUUUUAAAAUUCUUUGUACUCAAGAAUUAUCACAAUCAGAGGCAUUGUCAAGUUAAACUUCAAUGGUCUAACUAGGCUACCUACAAAUUAUAUUGUUAAGUUUAGAAAUGGGGCCCUUGGUUGAUUUUUUCAGAUCUUAUCUAGUUCAGUGUCCUGUAGGGAAAUUUUGAAUGGGUGAGAAGAUCAUGUAAUCUUGGAAUUAUUUAGCUCGGCACAUUGUUUAGCUCCCGCGGCACAUUGUUUGGCUCGGCAAUAUGGGAAUUAUUCAUCUCCUCAGUUUUGGAGGCAUUUGCCUCAAUCUGUUUUGUCCAGCCUUUAUGGUUGAUUUAAAUCAUGA